rnacentral:rRNA from 1 species
AUUGAACGCUGGCGGCAGGCUUAACACAUGCAAGUCGAGCGGGGUGAUGGUGCUUGCACUAUCACUUAGCGGCGGACGGGUGAGUAAUGCUUAGGAAUCUGCCUAUUAGUGGAGGACAACAUCUCGAAAGGGAUGCUAAUACCGCAUACGUCCUACGGGAGAAAGCAGGGGAUCACUUGUGACCUUGCGCUAAUAGAUGAGCCUAAGUCGGAUUAGCGAGUUGGUGGGGUAAAGGCCUACCAAGGCGACGAUCUGUAGCGGGUCUGAGAGGAUGAUCCGCCACACUGGGACUGGGACACGGCCCAGACUCCUACGGGAGGCAGCAGUGGGGAAUAUUGGACAAUGGGGGGAACCCUGAUCCAGCCAUGCCGCGUGUGUGAAGAAGGCCUUAUGGUUGUAAAGCACUUUAAGCGAGGAGGAGGCUCUUUUGGUUAAUACCCAAGAUGAGUGGACGUUACUCGCAGAAUAAGCACCGGCUAACUCUGUGCCAGCCGCCGCCGUAA